rnacentral:rRNA from 1 species
CCUACGGGUGGCUGCAGUGGGGAAUAUUGGACAAUGGGCGAAAGCCUGAUCCAGCCAUGCCGCGUGUGUGAAGAAGGCCUUCGGGUUGUAAAGUACUUUCAGUGGGGAAGAAAGCCUUGGGGCUAAUACCCUCGAGGAAGGACAUCACCCACAGAAGAAGCACCGGCUAACUCCGUGCCAGCAGCCGCGGUAAUACGGAGGGUGCGAGCGUUAAUCGGAAUUACUGGGCGUAAAGCGCGCGUAGGCGGUCUGAUAAGCCGGUUGUGAAAGCCCCGGGCUCAACCUGGGAACGGCAUCCGGAACUGUCAGGCUAGAGUGCAGGAGAGGAAGGUAGAAUUCCCGGUGUAGCGGUGAAAUGCGUAGAGAUCGGGAGGAAUACCAGUGGCGAAGGCGGCCUUCUGGACUGACACUGACGCUGAGGUGCGAAAGCGUGGGUAGCAAACAGGAUUAGAUACCCGUGUAGUC